rnacentral:misc_RNA from 1 species
UACAGAGACCUCAAGCGUUAUCCGGAAUCAUUGGGCGUAAAGCGUUCCGAUCGGCGGUUUGUUAAGUCUGGGGUAAAAUCCAGGGGCUCAACUCCUGGCUCGCCUCGGAAACUAACAGACUAGAGGAGCAAAGAGGAAGCCGGAACGAACGGUGUAGCAGUGAAAUGCGUUGAUAUCGUUCGGAACACCGAUAGCGAAGGCAGGCUUCUGGGUGCUUCCUGACGCUGCUAGGACGAAAGCGUGGGUAGCGAACGGG